rnacentral:rRNA from 1 species
UGGGGAAUCUUCCGCAAUGGACGAAAGUCUGACGGAGCAACGCCGCGUGAGUGAUGAAGGAUUUCGGUCUGUAAAGCUCUGUUGUUUAUGACGAACGUGCAGUGUGUGAACAAUGCAUUGCAAUGACGGUAGUAAACGAGGAAGCCACGGCUAACUACGUGCCAGCAGCCGCGGUAAUACGUAGGUGGCGAGCGUUGUCCGGAAUUAUUGGGCGUAAAGAGCAUGUAGGCGGCUUAAUAAGUCGAGCGUGAAAAUGCGGGGCUCAACCCCGUAUGGCGCUGGUAACUGUUAGGCUUGAGUGCAGGAGAGGAAAGGGGAAUUCCCAGUGUAGCGGUGAAAUGCGUAGAUAUUGGGAGGAACACCAGUGGCGAAGGCGCCUUUCUGGACUGUGUCUGACGCUGAGAUGCGAAAGCCAGGGUAGCGAACGGG